rnacentral:rRNA from 1 species
UAGGGAAUCUUCGGCAAUGGACGGAAGUCUGACCGAGCAACGCCGCGUGAGUGAAGAAGGUUUUCGGAUCGUAAAGCUCUGUUGUAAGAGAAGAACGAGUGUGAGAGUGGAAAGUUCACACUGUGACGGUAUCUUACCAGAAAGGGACGGCUAACUACGUGCCAGCAGCCGCGGUAAUACGUAGGUCCCGAGCGUUUUCNNUUUUNUUGGGCGUAAAGCGAGCGCAGGCGGUUAGAUAAGUCUGAAGUUAAAGGCUGUGGCUUAACCAUAGUAGGCUUUGGAAACUGUUUAACUUGAGUGCAAGAGGGGAGAGUGGAAUUCCAUGUGUAGCGGUGAAAUGCGUAGAUAUAUGGAGGAACACCGGUGGCGAAAGCGGCUCUCUGGCUUGUAACUGACGCUGAGGCUCGAAAGCGUGGGGAGCAAACAGGAUUAGAUACCCUGGUAGUCCACGCUGUAAACGAUGAGUGCUAGGUGUUAGACCCUUUCCAGGGUUUAGUGCCGUAGCUAACGCAUUAAGCACUCCGCCUGGGGAGUACGACCGCAAGGUUG